GCACAGCAAGUUGAUUUCUUCUUUUAUAAUUUUCUUCUUCUCUCUCUUUUCUUGGUCUUCUUCCUUCUUCCUUCUUCGUUUCUUUUUCUUUUUUCUUUUUUCUUUUUCUUCCCGAGAGACACAGGGAGAGACGAAAGAGAGAGAGAUCGAGAGAUAGAGAGAGAGUUGAGAGUAGAGAUUGAGAAGGAGAUAGAGAGAUGAGGCCGAGAGAUCGAGAGAGAGAUAGAGAAGAAAGGAUCCGGUGGAUCCGUGAGCUGGAGACCCGACAGAGGAGGAGGGAAAUCCGACCGCUCAGAGGUCCGGAUUACCGGUGGGUGGUGCUGGGUUGUUGCUGGCAGAGCCAAAGCCGACAAUUCUAGGCGGAAUCCAGGAACCUGUGACUUGCAACCCGCUAGACCCGAGAGAGAAAACUUGGGCGAUUCGUGGACCCGUGAGCCGAACCCGAUCCUUCCGGAGGUCCGAUCCUCCAUGUUCGGUGGCCAGAGUUGAUAUCCGGAGGUCCUAGUAGCGGUUUCCGGUGAGCUCGUGACCCGUAUGUGUGCAAAACCCGAACAACCCGAAACCGCGACCCGUUGAACAUGAGAGGAGACCCGAUUCUCCAUGUGCGUUUUUCGGAGAAAUCAGAGGCGAUUUUAAUGGGUUUUUGAGGAAAAUUCCUAUGGUAAAAGCUCGACCCUGACGUUAAUGACAAAUCCAGAUGACCCAGUAAGACGAUGUCAUUUCUUGGUAUUGGCGUAGACCUCGCUAAGAGCAAUAGAUCAUUGUGGUCCGACCAAAUCUUUACUUUGUAAUCUAUGUUUCUUUUUGGAGUUCAUGGCAUUGUAAAGAAUUAUUAAUAGACAGAAAUAAUAAAAUAGGAAGUUAAAAUUUAGAUGUUGUAAA